AGAGGAAUUUCUCUAGGGUUGCCAGAAAAAGCAGGAUCACCAUCUCCACAUCACCACUGUAAAAAUAGACACUUCUCUUUGGGAAUUGCUACUUCAGAUUGAUUUCUAGAAGCUUGUGGCCUCCUGACAGAGAUGGAAUUAAAUAGUCUCAAUGUAAAAGAAGCUCAAGGAUUGUGUCCUGGCAGAAAAGCUUGGGGAAAGGAACAACUGGAGUCAGUCACCCUGCAGAGCUGAGCAAUUUCUUCUGCUUUCAAAGCUCAUGAGACACAAGCAAGGGCUCUGUGAAGAAACACUGCAGAAUCCCUUUGGAUUGUGCCAGGAUGUUUCCACUUGUUGAGGAAUAUAUUUGGUGUUGUCAGCUUAGUGUGCAGCUGAAGGGCAAAUGACUGCACACUCAGAGACACAGCAGGAGCUGAUGAUGCCAGGCUUUGGCAUGCUGAGACUGUGAGGGUGUAAAAGUCGAGGGUUUCCUUCUUUUGGGGUCCCUCCUUGGAGGCACACAGCUCAAGUUGUUAUUUUGUUAUUGCACCGUGAUUAAAUAAUUUUAAAGAU